rnacentral:rRNA from 1 species
GCAGUCGAACGAUGAAGCCCUUCGGGGUGGAUUAGUGGCGAACGGGUGAGUAACACGUGGGCAAUCUGCCCUGCACUCUGGGACAAGCCCUGGAAACGGGGUCUAAUACCGGAUACUGAUCGCCUUGGGCAUCCUUGGUGAUCGAAAGCUCCGGCGGUGCAGGAUGAGCCCGCGGCCUAUCAGCUUGUUGGUGAGGUAAUGGCUCACCAAGGCGACGACGGGUAGCCGGCCUGAGAGGGCGACCGGCCACACUGGGACUGAGACACGGCCCAGACUCCUACGGGAGGCAGCAGUGGGGAAUAUUGCACAAUGGGCGAAAGCCUGAUGCAGCGACGCCGCGUGAGGGAUGACGGCCUUCGGGUUGUAAACCUCUUUCAGCAGGGAAGAAGCGAAAGUGACGGUACCUGCAGAAGAAGCGCCGGCUAACUACGUGCCAGCAGCCGCGGUAAUACGUAGGGCGCGAGCGUUGUCCGGAAUUAUUGGGCGUAAAGAGCUCGUAGGCGGCUUGUCGCGUCGGUUGUGAAAGCCCGGGGCUUAACCCCGGGUCUGCAGUCGAUACGGGCAGGCUAGAGUUCGGUAGGGGAGAUCGGAAUUCCUGGUGUAGCGGUGAAAUGCGCAGAUAUCAGGAGGAACACCGGUGGCGAAGGCGGAUCUCUGGGCCGAUACUGACGCUGAGGAGCGAAAGCGUGGGGAGCGAACAGGAUUAGAUACCCUGGUAGUCCACGCCGUAAACGGUGGGCACUAGGUGUGGGCGACAUUCCACGUCGUCCGUGCCGCAGCUAACGCAUU